rnacentral:rRNA from 1 species
CCUUACCUGGGUUUGACAUGUAGGUGGUACCGAACCGAAAGGGGAGGGACCCUUCGGGGAGCCUACACAGGUGCUGCAUGGCUGUCGUCAGCUCGUGCCGUGAGGUGUCGGGUUAAGUCCCGUAACGAGCGCAACCCUUGCUCUUAGUUAUACGUGUCUAAGGGGACUGCCGGCGACAAGCCGGAGGAAGGUGGGGAUGACGUCAAGUCAGCAUGGCCUUGAUAUCCAGGGCUACACACACGCUACAAUGGCCGGUACAAAGGGCAGCCAAGCCGCGAGGUGGAGCGAAUCCCAGCAAAGCCGGUCCCAGUUCGGAUUGCAGGCUGCAACCCGCCUGCAUGAAGUUGGAGUUGCUAGUAACCGCGCGUCAGCCAUAGUGCGGUGAAUACGUACCCGGGUCUUGUACACACCGCCCGUCACGUCAUGGGAGUUGGCAACGCCUGACAGCGGUAGCCUAACCGAAAGGAAGGCGCCGACUAAGGCGGGGCUAGCAACUGGGACGAAGUCGUAACAAGGUAGCGGUACCGGAAGGUGCGGCUGGAUCACCUCCUUUCUA